rnacentral:sRNA from 1 species
UGGUAGAUGCACCCUGAUAACUAAUCUCCCCUGGAUGGCUAACACCUACUAGGGGUUUUCUGU